CCUACGGGUGGCAGCAGUGAGGAAUAUUGGUCAAUGGGCGCAAGCCUGAACCAGCCAUGCCGCGUGCAGGAAGACGGUCCUAUGGAUUGUAAACUGCUUUUAUUUGGGAAUAAACUCCGGUACGUGUACCGGCCUGAAGGUACCAAAUGAAUAAGCACCGGCUAACUCCGUGCCAGCAGCCGCGGUAAUACGGAGGGUGCAAGCGUUAUCCGGAAUCAUUGGGUUUAAAGGGUCCGCAGGCGGACUUAUAAGUCAGUGGUGAAAGCCUGCAGCUUAACUGUAGAACUGCCAUUGAUACUGUAGGUCUUGAAUUCGAUCGAAGUGGGCGGAAUGUGACAUGUAGCGGUGAAAUGCUUAGAUAUGUCACAGAACACCGAUAGCGAAGGCAGCUCACUAGGUCUGGAUUGACGCUCAGGGACGAAAGCGUGGGGAGCAAACAGGAUUAGAUACCCGAGUAGUCC
rnacentral:rRNA from 1 species